rnacentral:lncRNA from 1 species
GUAACUGUAGGCAGGUAGGACAUGAUUGGAGGAAGGAGAUCACUGGAAAGUGUGCCCUUGAGGGUUAUAUUAUCACUUGUUCCUUGCAUUCAAGCUCUUUCUGCUUUCUGGCUGCCACACAAUUUCACCAUGAUGUUCUGCCUCACCUUGACGCCAGAGCUAUGAAGUUGACUCAUCAUGGACAGCACCCCUGAAACUGUGAGCCAAAAUAAGCUUUUCUUCCUCUAAGUUGUUCUUCUCAGGUCUUUUGGUCACAGCAAUAAAAAGCUGACUAAGCUGAUUAACAGUGAUCAACAUUCUGCCUGUACCCACACAUCUGGGUGAAGAUUAUUUUAUUUAAUUGAAACAAAUAUAGUCUGUUCAAUUUGUGAUACAUUUUUCAACAAAAUGAGGGGUUUUAUUGAUGCUUAUAAAUCAUAUUAUUGCCUCCAGCCAAAGAGGAUAAAGAAACAGUUUUCAUGCCCUCUCUGUUCCUAUCAAGCCUGUGAGCAUAAGGAAACCUGGAAGUAGGUAGUGAGAGAAGGGAACAGGGAGUACAAUAAAUAUGAAAGUGUCUGUUUAUUGAACAUGAGCUUUUACAUUCUACCUGGAACGAGUCACAGGACAGUUCCUGGCAAAACUUGAAAGAAGUUUUUAUGUCUCAACUUUGGUGGGGUAAGCUUCUGUAAUUCUCAGCACGGCCAGUCCUUAGAGAAUGAAGCACACAGAAUUCACAUGUUCCAGACUUAUCCCCUUAUCUCAGUCUCACCCCCAUCCUGAUUCCCAGCUGUGACCUUUCCAGACAUCUGGAGACUUGGCUCCAUUUUUCAGCUGGACUUUUGCUUUAUCUAUGCAGUACUCUUUCCUCUGGCUCUGGCAAGUUCCCUUGUGAUGGAAGAAGCAGACAUUGAGGGAUAGGAGCUGAUGGGUAGAUGAAGCAGGGAAAAACUCACAAUUUGUGCCAGCUACAAGGGCUUCAAUGGCAAAUGAGGUGGUCACCAGCUGAACUUUAAGGAACCUACUCUAAUGUGUACUUUAGUCGUGGGAGAAAAGUUAUUUCUAAAGAAGAGUCCAAGGGCUGGGGAUAUAGCUCAGUUGAUACAGUGCUUGACUUGCAUCCAAAAGACCCUGGGUUCAAUCCCUAGCACUACACACACACACACACACACACACACACACACACGAAGGGUCCAAGGAGUUGCUCUGGAGGUGAUGAUUUUCUCUUUAAGGUCUCUUUUUUCUCUUUCAGGUCUCUUUCAAAGAGGGAACAAUUCUGGAGUAUGGAUGGAGGUUCAGAUGUAGUUCUGAAUAUUGUAAGGAGAAUAGGUUUUUAUUGGUCUUUCCUCCCCCCUCUGGACAUGAUGAGUACCUUAGGAGAAGAGGACUUUGCAGACUGUUUAGGGUACU